rnacentral:rRNA from 1 species
GGUUCCUUAGAUCGGUACCCACGUUACUUGGAUAACUGUGGUAAUUCUAGAGCUAAUACAUGCCGACAGAGUUCCGACCAACUGCGCAGAUGUGCGGCGGCCUCGGUCGUCGUCGCUGCGCGGUUCGGAAGGAACGCUUUUAUUAGAUCAAAACCGGCCAGACGGUGGUUUCGCGUUCGCGCGUCUCCAUCGUAUGCGGCCCGCGCAAAGACUUGGUGACUCUGAAUAACUUCGAGCUGAUCGCACGGUCCUAGUACCGGCGACGUAUCUUUCAAAUGUCUGCCUUAUCAACUGUCGACGGUAGGUUCGACGCCUACCGUGGUGGUAACGGGUAACGGGGAAUCAGGGUUCGAUUCCGGAGAGGGAGCCUGAGAAACGGCUACCACAUCCAAGGAAGGCAGCAGGCGCGCAAAUUACCCACUCCCAGCUCGGGGAGGUAGUGACGAAAAAUAACGAUACGGGACUCAUUCGAGGCCCCGUAAUCGGAAUAAAGUACACUAAAAUA